UCCUGUCAAUAAAGAAAUUUAGCCAGU
rnacentral:piRNA from 1 species